GGAAGGGUUCCCGAGUUGGCCAAAGGGGACGGACUGUAAAUCCGUUAGCACCGCUUUCACUGGUUCGAAUCCAGUCCCUUCCACCA
rnacentral:tRNA from 1 species